rnacentral:rRNA from 1 species
UAUUCAAUAAAUUAAUUAAUAAUUAUAAUUUUUUUUUUAUUGAUAUAAAUAUAUAAAUAUUAAAUUAUUUAUUAAGAAAAAAUUGAUUUAUUAAUAGUGAAUUAGUAUUGUAAAAGAAUUUUUUUAAAUUUUUAAAAGAAAAAUUUAAUUUUUGUACCUUGUGUAUCAGGGUUGAUUAAAUAAUUAUAAUAAAUUUUAUUUUCUCGAAUUUUAAGGAGUUAAAAAUUUAUUUUUUUUAUUGUAAAAUAAAUAUUAUUAAUAGAUUUUUGGAAAUGAAAUGUUAUUCGUCUUAAAAUAUAUCUAGUUUUUUUAGAAAUAAAUUUAAUUUAACUUUAAAAUUUUUUUUAAAUUAUUUAAAAUUUAAAUGAAUUUUGAUGUUAAUAAUUUUAGGGAUUAGCUUAAAAUUAAAUUUUUAUAAAUUAAGAUUAAUAAUUUAAAUGUAGAAUUUGAAAUUUUUUUCAUUAUUAAUUUGUUAUAAUUAAUAAAUUUAAUAUAUUUAAUUUAAUUUUUUUUAAUUUUUUUAUAGAAAUUUUUUUUUUAAUAAGUUUAAUUAAAGAAUAAUGAUUAAAUUAGUAUAGAAUUAUGUAUAUAAAAUAAUAAAUUUUUGAGAUUAAAAAAAGGAACUAGACAAAUAUAAUUUUUACCUGUUUAUUAAAAACAUGUCUUUUUGAUAAUAAUAUAAAGUCUGACCUGCUCACUGAGGAGUUAAAUGGCUGCGGUAAUUUGACCGUACAAAGGUAGCAUAAUCAUUAGUUUUUUAAUUGAAAGCUGGAAUGAACGGUUUGAUAAGAAAUUAUUUGUCUCUUUUUAAAUUUAUAGAAUUUUAUAUUUAAAUAAAAAAGUUUAAAUAUUAAUAAAAGACGAGAAGACCCUAUAGAGUUUAAUAUAAAAUUUUAUUUUAAAGUUUUGGGAUUUAUAGUUUAAGUAAAAUUAUUUAUUUAGUUGGGGUGAUUGAAAAAUUUAAAUAACUUUUUUUUAUCUUUAACAUUAAUUAGUGAAUUUUUGAUCCAAAAUUUUUGAUUAUAAGAUUAAAUUACCUUAGGGAUAACAGCGUAAUUUUUUUUUUGAGUUCUUAUUAAAAGAAAAGAUUGCGACCUCGAUGUUGGAUUAAAUUUAAUUUUAGGUGGAGGAGCUUAAAAUAUUUGGUCUGUUCGACCUUUAAAAAUUUACAUGAUCUGAGUUUAAACCGGUGUGAGCCAGGUUGGUUUCUAUCUUUAUUUUGAUAUAAUAUUUUAGUACGAAAGGACCAAGUAUUGAAUUAAUAAUUUGAAUUUUUGAAUAUUAAU